rnacentral:rRNA from 1 species
GACGAACGCUGGCGGCGUGCUUAACACAUGCAAGUCGAACGGAAAGGCCCUGCUUUUGUGGGUUUCUCGAGUGGCGAACGGGUGAGUAACACGUGAGUAACCUGCCCUUGACUUUGUGAUAACUUCAGGAAACUGGGGCUAAUACCGGAGAGGAGCUCCUGCUGCGUGGUGGUGGAUGGAAAGUUUCGGCGGUUGGAGAUCGACUCGAUGCUUAUCAGCUUGAUGGGGGGGUAGUUGCGUACCAAGGCUUUGACGGGUAGGCCGCCUGAGAGGGUGACCGGCCACAUUGGGACUGAGAUACGGACCAGACUCCUACGGGAGGCAGCAGUGGGGAAUAUUGCACAAUGGGCGGAAGCCUGAUGCAGAAACGUCGCGUGCGGGAUGACGGCCUUCGGGUUGUAAACCGCUUUCGCCUGUGCCGAAGAGUUAGUGACGGUAAUGGGUAAAGAAGCAACGGCUAACUACGUG